rnacentral:rRNA from 1 species
AUUGAACGCUGGCGACAUGCCUAACACAUGCAAGUCGAACGAGUGGCGGACGGGUGAGUAAUGUCUGGGAAACUUCCUGAUGGAGGGGGGUAACUACUGGAAACGGUAGCUAAUACCGCAUACCAUCAGAUGUUCCCAGAUGGGAUGAGCGAGUUGUUGGGGUAACGGCUCACCAGGGCGACGCUCCCUAGCGGGUCUGAGAGGAUGACCAGCCACACUGGAACUGAGACACGGCCCAGACUCCUACGGGAGGCAGCAGUGGGGAAUAUUGCGCAAUGGGCGCAAGCCUGACGGAGCCACGCCGCGUGUAUGAAGAAGGCCUUCGGGUUGUAAAGUACUGUCAGCGGGGAGGCGGUACCCGAAGAAGAAGCAACGGCUAACUCCGUGCCAGCAGCCGCGGUAAUUC